CUUAAAUAAUCUGAAGGGACGAUAAGACCCUAUAAAACUUUAUAUUGAAAAGUGGUAGGUAUGAUUUGUUUAAGGGUUAUUAUUUUAAAGUAUUUGGUUGGGGUGACAAAAAUAAAAWGRAAAGUAACUGUUUUUUUUUUUUCCAUUAAGGUUGGGUUUAUGGUUCCUAAAAGGGAUUAAAGAUUAAGUUACUUUAGGGAUAACAGCGUAAUUUUCUUUAAGAGUUCUUAUCGAUAAGAAAGUUUGCGACCUCGAUGUUGAAUUAAAGGUUCUUUAUGGAGUAGAGACUAUAAAAGAAGGUCUGUUCG
rnacentral:rRNA from 1 species